GACGGAGGGCGCGAACGUUGUUCGGAAUCACUGGGCGUAAAGGGCGCGUAGGCGGACCGGUAAGUCGAGGGUGAAAUUCCAGGGCUCAACUCUGGAACUGCCUUUGAAACUGCCGGUCUAGAGUGCAGGAGAGGAAGGCGGAAUUCCAGGUGUAGCGGUGGAAUGCGUAGAUAUCUGGAAGAACACCAGUGGCGAAGGCGGCCUUCUGGACUGACACUGACGCUGAUGCGCGAAAGCUGGGGGAGCAAACAGG
rnacentral:rRNA from 1 species